UACGGAGGGGACUAGCGUUGUUCGGAAUUACUGGGCGUAAAGCGCACGUAGGCGGAUUUGUAAGUCAGGGGUGAAAUCCCGGGGCUCAACCUCGGAACUGCCUUCGAUACUGCGGGUCUCGAGUCCGGGAGAGGUGAGUGGAAUUCCUAGUGUAGAGGUGAAAUUCGUAGAUAUUAGGAAGAACACCAGUGGCGAAGGCGGCUCACUGGCCCGGUACUGACGCUGAGGCGCGAAAGCGUGGGGAGCAAACGGG
rnacentral:rRNA from 1 species